rnacentral:rRNA from 1 species
CUGCCAGCAGCCGCGGUAAUACGGAGGGUGCGAGCGUAAUCGGAAUUACUGGGCGUAAAGCGCACGCAGGCGGUCUGUUAAGCUAGAUGUGAAAGCCCCCGCGCUCAACGUGGGAGGGUCAUUUAGAACUGGCAGACUAGAGUCUUGGAGAGGGGAGUGGAAUUCCAGGUGUAGCGGUUAAAUGCGUAGAGAUCUGGAGGAACAUCAAUGGCGAAGGCAACUCCCUGGCCAAAGACUGACGCUCAUGUGCGAAAGUGUGGGUAGCGAACAGGAUUAGGUACCCUGGUAGUCCACACCGUAAACGCUGUCUACUAGCUGUUUGUGAAUUUAAUUCGUGAGUAGCGAAGCUAACGCGAUAAGUAGACCGCCUGGGGAGUACGGCCGCAAGGUUAAAACUCAAAUGAAUUGACGGGGGCCCGCACAAGCGGUGGAGCAUGUGGUUUAAUUCGAUGCAACGCGAAGAACCUUACCUACUCUUGACAUACUAGAAACUUUUCAGAGAUGAAUUGGUGCCUUCGGGAAUCUAGAUACAGGUGCUGCAUGGCUGUCGUCAGCUCGUGUCGUGAGAUGUUGGGUUAAGUCCCGCAACGAGCGCAACCCUUGUCCUUAGUUGCCAGCCUUAAGUUGGGCACUCUAAGGAGACUGCCGGUGACAAACCGGAGGAAGGUGGGGACGACGUCAAGUCAUCAUGGCCCUUACGAGUAGGGCUACACACGUGCUACAAUGGCGAGUACGAAGGGAUGCGGACCUGCGAAGGUAAGCGGACCCCUUAAAGCUCGUCGUAGUCCGGAUUGGAGUCUGCAACUCGACUCCAUGAAGUCGGAAUCGCUAGUAAUCGUAGGUCAGCAUACUACGGUGAAUACGUUCCCGGGCCUUGUACACACCGCCCGUCACACCAUGGGAGUGGGAUGCAAAAGAAGUAGGUAGCUUAACCUUCGGGAUGGCGCUUACCAC